rnacentral:rRNA from 1 species
CCUACGGGUGGCAGCAGUCGAGAAUCAUUCACAAUGGGGGAAACCCUGAUGGUGCGACGCCGCGUGGGGGAAUGAAGGUCUUCGGAUUGUAAACCCCUGUCAUGUGGGAGCAAAUUAAAAAGAUAGUACACCAAGAGGAAGAGACGGCUAACUCUGUGCCAGCAGCCGCGGUAAUACAGAGGUCUCAAGCGUUGUUCGGAAUCACUGGGCGUAAAGCGUGCGUAGGCUGUUUCGUAAGUCGUGUGUGAAAGGCGAGGGCUCAACCCGCGGACGGCACAUGAUACUGCGAGACUAGAGUAAUGGAGGGGGAAGCGGGAUUCUCGGUGUAGCAGUGAAAUGCGUAGAUAUCGAGAGGAACACUCGUGGCGAAGGCGGGUUCCUGGACAUUAACUGACGCUGAGGCACGAAGGCCAGGGGAGCGAAAGGGAUUAGAUACCCUUGUAGUC